rfam:Chlorocebus sabaeus isolate 1994-021 chromosome 1, whole genome shotgun sequence.
GAUAUAAUCUGUAUCUAUCUCAAAGUCCCACAAGUGGAUAUUAAUGCAGUGUGAUUUCUGCCCAGUGCUCUGAAUGUCAAAGUGAAGAAAUUCAAAGAAGCCUGGGUAAACAGCGGAAGUCACUGUGACUCAGCCAAAUGCCUCGUCAUCUCGUUAGUGAUACAUGUGAAUGGACCA